GGAUACCUACGGGGGGCAGCAGUGGGGGAUAUUGGGCAAUGGGCGCAAGUCUGACCCAGCAACGCCGCGUGAAGGAAGAAGGCUUUCGGGUUGUAAACUUCUUUUAUGAGGGACGAAACAAAUGACGGUACCUCAUGAAUAAGCCACGGCUAACUACGUGCCAGCAGCCGCGGUAAUACGUAGGUGGCAAGCGUUAUCCGGAUUUACUGGGUGUAAAGGGCGUGUAGGCGGGACUGCAAGUCAGAUGUGAAAAUUAUGGGCUCAACCCAUAACCUGCAUUUGAAACUGGAGUUCUUGAGUGAUGG
rnacentral:rRNA from 1 species